UACGAAGGGGGCUAGCGUUGCUCGGAAUCACUGGGCGUAAAGGGUGCGUAGGCGGGUCUUUAAGUCAGGGGUGAAAGCCCGGAGCUUAACUCCGGAACUGCCUUUAAAACUGCAUCGCUAGAAUCGUGGAGAGGUGAGUGGAAUUCCGAGUGUAGCGGUGAAAUGCGUAGAUAUUGGGAGGAACACCAGUGGCGAAGGCGGCUCACUGGACCGGAACUGACGCUGAGGCGCGAAAGCGUGGGGAGCAAACAGG
rnacentral:rRNA from 1 species